CGUGUAGGCGGCUUUGCAAGUCGGGUGUGAAAGCCCUCAGCUCAACUGAGGAAGUGCGCCCGAAACUGCAGAGCUUGAGUGCCGGAGAGGGUGGCGGAAUUCCCCAAGUAGAGGUGAAAUUCGUAGACAUGGGGAGGAACACCGGUGGCGAAGGCGGCCACCUGGACGGUAACUGACGCUGAGACGCGAAAGCGUGGGGAGCAAACA
rnacentral:rRNA from 1 species